ACGAGCACGAGUUCAUCAUCCUUGACCGAAAGGUCUGGGUAAUCUUGUUAAACUCUGUCGUGCUGGGGAUAGAGCAUUGCAAUUAUUGCUCUUCAACGAGGAAUGCCUAGUAAGCGCAAGUCAUCAGCUUGCGYUGAUUACGU
rnacentral:rRNA from 1 species